rnacentral:miRNA from 14 species
GAUGGGGUCGACCAGUGGGGCCAAGACUGUGACUCACUGUAGUGGUGGACUGCCCUGAUCUGGAUACCACUGCUUU